rnacentral:rRNA from 1 species
UAGCGGACGGGUGAGUAAUGUCUGGGAAACUGCCUGAUGGAGGGGGAUAACUACUGGAAACGGUAGCUAAUACCGCAUAACGUCGCAAGACCAAAGAGGGGGACCUUAGGGCCUCUUGCCAUCGGAUGUGCCCAGAUGGGAUUAGCUAGUAGGUGGGGUAAAGGCUCACCUAGGCGACGAUCCCUAGCUGGUCUGAGAGGAUGACCAGCCACACUGGAACUGAGACACGGUCCAG